AUUAGCGGCCAUAGUUGCCGGGAAACACCUGGACCCUUUUCGAACCCAGAAGUUAAGACGGCAAACGUUGCCAUUGCACUGGGAUUUCUCCUGGAGCGGUGCAACCGCUGCUAAUC
rnacentral:rRNA from 1 species